rnacentral:rRNA from 1 species
AUGCACGCUGGCGGCGUGCCUAAUACAUGCAAGUCGCGCGAACAGACGAGGAGCUUGCUCCUCUGACGUUAGCGGCGGACGGGUGAGUAACACGUGGAUAACCUACCUAUAAGACUGGGAUAACUUCGGGAAACCGGAGCUAAUACCGGAUAAUAUAUUGAACCGCAUGGUUCAAUAGUGAAAGACGGUUUUGCUGUCACUUAUAGAUGGAUCCGCGCCGCAUUAGCUAGUUGGUAAGGUAACGGCUUACCAAGGCGACGAUGCGUAGCCGCCCUGAGAGGAGGAGCGGCCGCAGGGAAGCGGAGACGCGCACCAGCCCCUGGGGGGGGGCACGGGGGGGAAUUCUACCGAAGGGGGCAAAGGCGAAAGGGGACAACUGCGGGGGAGUAAGAAGGGUCUACGCCUCGAAAAACUUUUUUGUGGGAAAAAAACAAAAUGGUAGGAACGAAUACGCUUCUGACGGUACCUAAACAAAAAGCCCCGGCUAACUUCGUG